UACAUGGGGUGCAAACGUUGCUCGGAAUUACUGGGCGUAAAGCGCACGUAGGCGGUUUGUUAAGUCGGAUGUGAAAUCCCUCGGCUCAACUGAGGAAGUGCAUCCGAAACUGGCAAGCUUGAGUACGAAAGAGGGUCGCGGAAUUCCCGGUGUAGAGGUGAAAUUCGUAGAUAUCGGGAGGAACACCAGUGGCGAAGGCGGCGAUCUGGGCUGAUACUGACGCUGAGGUGCGAAAGCGUGGGGAGCAAACAGG
rnacentral:rRNA from 1 species